CUUAGCAAGAACCAAGUGCCAGGGGGAGAGUGUGCCAGGUGCUCUGCACACCUCCCCAGCCUGCCUGCCUGCCUGCCUGCCUGCCAGCCAUCCAUCCGUCCGUUCUUUUACAGAAUGAAUGCUUGUUGGUUCAGUACAGUGCCUGGUGAUUGAACACAGUGAACAAGACAGACCAAGCCUUGGCCCUUUGGCGCUUGGUGAGGAAGACUAGUAGGAAUCCAAACAAGAGAAUCAGAUUUUUUCGGAACUAUGAAGGCAGGCAAGAAGGACAUGAGCUUCCCUGUUGUGUUCACUGCCAUGUCCUCAACACUUAAAACUGUGCCUGGCAUCUAGUAGAUGGUCUCUGUAGGUGUAGACAUGGAGUGAAACAGAAGUGAAACGGUAGAAUAGAGAUGGUGGGCUGCUUUAGCUGAGGGGUCAGAGAAAGCCUCUCUAAGGAGAUGAUGCUUUUGAGCUGAGCCUUAAUUUGAUAGAAGGAUCUGGAGAAAAGCAGUCCAGGCUGAGGGAACCAGUGGUGCCAAGGCCUUCAGGUGAGAGAGAGUUGGUUUUUCCGCAACCAAAAGGAGGCCCAUGUGGCUGGAGAACAGCCCCAGGAAAGGUCAGUGAGGUGGGUGGGAGCCAUACCAUGGAGGACCUGGAAGGCCAUAGCCAAGAGCAGUGGAAAGCCAUUGGAAGGUUCUAGGCAGGAGAUGACACAAUCCCAUUCCUAUUUUGCAAAAAUGACUCUGGCAAUUGUGGACAGAAUGAGCUGAGGGGUAAGAGGGGAAGCAGGGCCACCACCUCGGAUGCUGUUAGUUGUCCAGGCCAGAGGUGACAGAGGCUUGGAUGAGGGGAGUUUAGUGAAGAUAGAGAAACAUGAACAGACCGAGAACAACUCUCAAAAGUAGAACCUAUGGAAUCCAUUCAAAAUCUGUACUGAGCAUUGAUUGUAUCGCACUCCUGGGUCUAGGCCCUUUGCAUAUGCACUCACUCAUUCAACAGACUUUGACCCUGCCUGCUCUUCUGCCAGGCCAUGUGCUAAGGGCCUGUGAUCCCAAGAUAAAUCCCUGUCGCCAAGCCAAGCUUUUGACUUUGAAGCAGUGUAACUUGGUGAGGAACGUCUUAUUUUAUCUCUUUACCACAUCAACAGAAACACUUCCCCUUCCAAGUGAAAACAUUGGCAUAUUCUGAA
rnacentral:sRNA from 1 species